UACGUAGGGGCAAGCGUUUGUCCGGAAUCAUUGGGCGUAAAGAGCGUGUAGGCGGCCCGGUAAGUCCGCUGUGAAAGUCCAGGGCUCAACCCUGGGAUGCCGGUGGAUACUGUCGGGCUCGAGUCCGGAAGAGGAGUGUGGAAUUCCUGGUGUAGCGGUGAAAUGCGCAGAUAUCAGGAGGAACACCAAAUGGCGAAGGCAGCACUCUGGGACGUGACUGACGCUGAGACGCGAAAGC
rnacentral:rRNA from 1 species